rnacentral:sRNA from 1 species
GCACUGGUGGGGACAGUAACAGGAUUCGAAUUCAAAACAAUCAUACUCUUUCCUUCCUGGAUAAGAUCGUAUCAUCUGGCAAGGUAUCAUCUUCCAAGGUAUCAUCUAGGAAGGUAUCAUCUGGGAAGAUAGCACCUGUCUUCAACGGCAACACUUUCCAUCAGAUGAAAAUAGUUGACAAGUGAAGAAACAUAAGCAGUUCAUGAAAGUAAAAGCAGAAAUUGGUUAUUUAAUGAUCUCAGUGCACCAUCACAAUCAAGGCCAUGAACCCCAAAUCAACAAACAUAGCUAAAAAGUUUAUUAUGAUGAUAAUGGUGGCAACAAAUGGGAGUGAUGGUGGAAAUGGCAGCAAAAAUGUCAUAUUUGGUGGCAUCAGAAUAUAUUUUAGUGACAUGUUUUGACAGAGUUAACAACACUGAUUGAAGCAGUCAGUUGUUAUGAAGACAGUCGUAGCAUUAGUCAAUGUUGACAAACAUACCUUAAACAGUCUUAGCAUCUCUUUCCAUUGCUCGGAUACAUUAUGAUGCAAGGGG